rnacentral:rRNA from 1 species
UUCCGUUGGUGAACCUGCGGAGGGAUCAUUACACAAAUAUGAAGGCGGGCUGGAACCUCUCGGGGUUACAGCCUUGCUGAAUUAUUCACCCUUGUCUUUUGCGUACUUCUUGUUUCCUUGGUGGGUUCGCCCACCACUAGGACAAACAUAAACCUUUUGUAAUUGCAAUCAGCGUCAGUAACAAAUUAAUAAUUACAACUUUCAACAACGGAUCUCUUGGUUCUGGCAUCGAUGAAGAACGCAGCGAAAUGCGAUAAGUAGUGUGAAUUGCAGAAUUCAGUGAAUCAUCGAAUCUUUGAACGCACAUUGCGCCCUUUGGUAUUCCAAAGGGCAUGCCUGUUCGAGCGUCAUUUGUACCCUCAAGCUUUGCUUGGUGUUGGGCGUCUUGUCUCUAGCUUUGCUGGAGACUCGCCUUAAAGUAAUUGGCAGCCGGCCUACUGGUUUCGGAGCGCAGCACAAGUCGCACUCUCUAUCAGCAAAGGUCUAGCAUCCAUUAAGCCUUUUUUUCAACUUUUGACCUCGGAUCAGUUAGGAUACAAUAUCCG